AUGCAAAACCUCCUCUCUAUAGAAACAAUUUUUUCUAGUCUCAGCACACAGAACACAAGUUACAAAUAAUGAGAAGAAACUGUUCAUAGAUUUACACUAAAUAUAAUGAUAAUGGAUUAUAGCAAAAAAAGAGCUGUGGGUGUGGUGAGGCCCACCUUGACCAUCCUCCCUCCCUCCAAAGAGGAGGAGAAGCAGAGAAGUGUCACUGUGGUGUGUCUGGCCACCGGGGGCUUCCCCUCAAGCUGGACACUGCACUGGAAGAUGGGGGGCACCAGGAUGUCCUCAGGUGUGUCAAACAGCCUGCAGGUCCUGGAAACAAAUGGCCACUACAGCUGGAGCAGCACCCUGAGCCUCUCUGCAGACCAGUGGAGGAAGGCGGGCUCAGUGAGCUGUGAGGCCAGUCUGAGUGGACAGAGCCCCGUCACUCAAACCUUGAACGCUGACCAGUGCUCAGAGUAGAGCUUCAGCAACACUUCCUGUCUGCAAAUGAUGUGUUUUAUAAUUUGAUGAAGCUACAUGUUUCCUCUGUUGUGAUAUUUCUGCAGAUGUUUGACUCUUGUUGAUGUGCAUGCAGAUUUCAUCAGCUAAUCUUUUCCAUAUUGUGCUUUAAAAUCAUGCUGUAAAGAAAAAAAAGUCUUCAUCACAAAAUAAAAUCACAGCUCAUGAAAAAUCA